UCUUGAAGGGGCCAACCAUAUCCAGUCCCCAGACCGCAAAAGGCCAUGUAAUUGGGAUCAUCCGCAGUUCCUGAGCUGGCACAUGCAUCUGACACCCAAAUUUUUGGCAUCCGUCACAUCUACGUACUAUGUCCUCAGCAUAUGCAUGGGUUGUCAACCAGUAAAAUCCAUGCCUAAAGGCUUUGGAUACCAAAGAGCGUGACCCGACGUGAUGACCACAAUCACCUACGUGAAUUUCGUUAAGAAUCGCACACCCUUCUUCACACGAGACA
rnacentral:lncRNA from 1 species